AGUAACGCGUAGGAACCUGUCGCACAGUGGGGGAUAACGCUGGGAAACCGGCGCUAAUACCGCAUGUGGUCAGAGAUGAAGAAAGCAGCAAUGCGCUGUGUGAGGGGCCUGCGUCCGAUUAGCUGGUUGGUGGGGUAAUGGCCUACCAAGGCGACGAUCGGUAGCUGGUCUGAGAGGAUGGUCAGCCACACUGGGACUGAGACACGGCCCAG
rnacentral:rRNA from 1 species